UUUAACCUAAAUGGAAUUAAAACUGUUUUUACAACUUUCUUUUCUUACUUACAUAUAGGGCAGGCCAAAUAAUGGUCUCCAAAGGUGUCCAGGUCCUAAUGCCCAGAACUUGUGACUCUGUUAGCUUGCAUGAUACUAAUCAACUCUCCUUCAGAUAGAAAGAUUAUCCUGGUUAUCCAGGUGGACCCAAUGUAACCAUAAACAUCCUUAAAACUGCAAGAGGGAGGCAGGAGGAGAAUCAAAGAGACAUGAUGAUGGAGGCAGGGUCAGAGGUGAUGCUACACUGCUGACUGAACAUGGGAGAAGGCAGCCAUGAGCCAAGGAAUGCGGUGACAGGUAGCAGCUGAAAAGGCAAGGAAAAUGAUUCUUUCCUAGAGUGUCCAGAAAAAAGCAGCCAUGCAGACACCUUGACUUUAGGCUACAAGACCUGUGUCAGACUUUCAGCCUACAGAACUUGAAGUAACUUUCCUGCAUAGACCUGUUAACCAGCUCUGAUAAAGAAGCCAUGUGAUGCUGCAUAAACAGCAUUUACUGUGGGACCCUCUCUUACCUUGCGUGGCUUCCCUACAGAUAAAUGGCAUCUCCAUAAAAUGAGCAAACCAGACAUCAGCCUUCUGAGCCACAGGACACAGCUAGAUCCACUUUAAAGUAUACCACUCUAUCCUUCAAAUUAUCAUCUCCUUCACAGUGAUAUGUAAAGUAAUUAAACCCCAGGUGGCCCUUUAAACAAAGAGCAAACCUGGCUUCUCAAUAAACUGAUGCCACUUUUAGA